UGUGGACUCAGGGCGCACUGCCUGUGAGUAGAGACAGACCAGCACAGAGCAAGAGCCCCAUGCCGAGAGGCAGCAGACUGGAGGGAUGCAGCCACCAGCCAGGGUGCACCCAGGGCCGCCAGCAGCCACUGUGUGGGAGAAGGGCAUGGGAGGAGCCCACUCUGCCCACACCUCACUGUCAGACCCUGGCCUCGGAGACAGAGAGAGAGCAGGUUCCUGUUGCCCCAAGCCAUGCAGUGUGCAGCACCCUGUUAUGGCAGCCACGGGAGACCAACGUUACCAUCCAGCUCAUGUCUCCGCCUCAGAGUUCACCUUCUUCCUUCUGAUGCGAGGAUGGCAUUCUGCAGACGCGGAAGACUUACUCCCUCGGAAGCCAAAACCACAAAGUGGGAUUCCUUCGGAGAGGGGAGACGCCCAGCACGCCGUUUGGAGGAGAGAGCCUGGCGUCCUUUCCCUACCUUCAUUUUGAGUACCCAGCUCCUAGCAAAUGUGUCUUCCUCCCAGGUUCUUUGGGGUAAAGAAUUUGGUGAGAAGGAGCCGAAUAUUACGGCUGCACUUCUCAGACACCUGCUCAGGGCCAAGCAUCCUCUCACCCUUUCUUUCAACUGGUAGCCAGAAAAUACGGGCUGAGCAUCAGGGAUUCUCAACCUCGUCAAGAUCCAGGCCCUGCCUGUUGUGACAGACAUUUCCUGAUGCCCUCUUGCUCUCUGGAAUGAAGGUCAUGGGCAGUAUUACCCACACAGCCAUUCAAAAUCAAUCGGCUUCAUGACCUGUUGUGAAAGGAUGGUGAUUGCCGUGCCAGCACGUGACAUGGACUCGGAUGCCUGCACACACAGGUACACCUUCCAGAAGGUGAAGUCAGCCCGAGUGCCCACCCCCAUGUGAGUGCGCAGCUGCACAAUGACCAGUUGCUGGAAUGUUCUGAACAGAGCCCAAUGCCACUGACUUUGAUGUGCGCUAUUGUCAGAUAUCCGGAAAAAUCAGAGUACAUUAAAUUCCU
rnacentral:lncRNA from 1 species